CUUAAAUAAAUCUUAAUCAAGUUUAAUUUUAAUCUCAAUUAAAACCCUAAUGGAUCUUAAUUAAAUCUUAGAUCAAAUCUUAACUAAAUUCUAAAUCAAAUCUUAAAUAAAUCCUAAAUCCUAAAUAAAAUCCUAAAAAAAUUCUAAAUCCUAAAUCAAAUCCUAAAUAAAUUCUAAAUCCUAAACUAAAUUUUAGACAAAUCCUAGACCAAAUCCUAGAAAAAAAUUAAAUAUUAAAUCAAACCCUAGACAAAUCCUAUACUACAAAUUAAAUCCUAAAUAAAAAUUAAUCAACUCAAAUCAAUCCUAAGAUAGAUUAGAACCUCAGUAUCCAUUGAUUAAAUCAUUGAUCUUAUUUAAACACUUACAUAUUUUUCAACCUCUUAUUUUAAAAUAAUUAUAAAAAAUUUGAAGAUAAUUGCACUUAUCAAAUGAAAGAAAAAUCCUAAAAUCUACUUAGGCCUUUUAUUCCAAUCUA
rnacentral:lncRNA from 1 species